rnacentral:misc_RNA from 1 species
GAUGAAGAACGCAGCGAAAUGCGAUAAGUAAUGUGAAUUGCAGAAUUCAGUGAAUCAUCGAAUCUUUGAACGCACCUUGCACCCUUUGGCAUUCCGAAGGGUAUGCUCGUUUGAGUGUCAUUGUACUCUCACACUUCCAAUCUUUGGAUUGGGAGCAGUGGACUUGGGUGUUGCUGCUUACUGUGGCUCACCUCAAAUUGAUUCGUGCACCUCUUGGUUGGACAUAGUACGGCGUGAUAAGUGUCUUCGCCGGCACCUCAGUAGAGGGUGGCUGAUCAGGAGCUCUGUGCUUCAAACCGUCCUCGGACAACAACUGACAACUUGACCUCAAAUCGAGUAGGACUACCCGCUGAACUUAAGCAUAUCAAUAAGCGGAGGA